rnacentral:pre_miRNA from 1 species
UAAAUACUCCCUCCGUCCGGAAAUACUUGUCGAAGAAAUGCAUAAAAAUAGAUGUAUCUAGAAUUAAAAUACGUCUAGAUACAUUCAUUUAUCCGACAAGUAUUUCCGGACAGAGAGAGUACAAG